CUCCCCUUGGUGUAGUUGGUUCAUUCAUCACGUUCGACUGUAAUGGUUACGACUGUAAUGGUUACAUUGUCAUCGAAAGGUCUCUAGUUCGAUUCUGGAAGGGGAGA
rnacentral:tRNA from 1 species